GACCAGGUGGUCAAGUGGUAGACGUCGGCAGCUGAUUAUCCCGGGUAAUACUGUUUGCCGAAGCUUCAGGUUCGAAUCCUGACUUGGUCU